rnacentral:tRNA from 1 species
AGAAAAGAUAAAUUAAGCUUCUAACUUAAUAUCUGAUUAUCAUCACUUUUCUU